GGGAGGGGAACUAAGGCUGAGGCCAAGGAGAGGAAAUGACUCACACCGUGAGAGAGGAGUUGAGACCAGGGAGGCUGCUUGCUGUAUGAUGCAACUGAGAGGGUAGAACAAGGCUGGCACAGAGAAGGUGGGGAAGGAAAAGGAGAGACGAAGCUGAGAUUUCAGCAGGGCCAAGUCAGCCGUGAGUGCCAGGCUGCGGAGCCCAGAUUCUCUGGGCUGAGAAAGAGCACUCUGUCCAGAGUGUGGAGGGGGGCCUGGAGGGGAUGAGACUCAAAGCUGGGAGGCCAGAGAGGAGGCUGCUAGAGUUUUCUGGGAGAGAGUUACUGGGGCCUGAACUCCAGUGAGGCACUUCCCAUUUCACAGACCAGGAAACUGAGGCCCAAGAGUGAGGCAACUGGCCCAAGGGCACACAGCCAGCCUCCACCUGACUGGGACAAAGCCAUGCAGAGAGCUAGUGCUCCCUUCCUGCUAGACUUCAAGGAUGCCUGGUUCCUGUGCCCCAUCUCCAUCCAGCCCUCUCUUCUACACCUGGUGACUGAGCCUCUCCUUCAGUUUCUCCAUCCAGAAGGGGGUGAAAGCAACUGCCUAGUGUCCUUCCCUGGUGAUAGUGGAGCACGGGGGACAGGGUGUUUGGGCAAAAGGUGCCCAAGGUGAGGUGCCCAACACAACCUCCUACUCAGACGAUUGAGCGGACUGGACAUUUUUGCAAGAGACAGGAGCUGUGACUGUGCAUUCACUGCUGUAUCCCCAGCACCCAGCACUGGGCCUGCCACACAUCUACUCUCAGGAGUUAUCCUCUAGGGAGCAUGGUCAAGAAUGGCCCUGGGGACUUGCUUGUAAUAGAAAAACAAACUAACCAACCAACCAAAAAAGAUAUAGCCUAGAUGCCCAAAAGCCAGGACUGGCUGAAUCCGUUGCGUUUUGGCGUCCCUGGAAAUGUUCCGCAGUCAUGAAGGAGGAGGCAUUUGCACAGAAUUGGAAAGAUGCCCAGGACUUGGGGCACAUCAAGCCUAACCCCAUGUGUGGCAAGAGAAGAAAGAAAGUAUUAAUGUAAAUAAAGAGAAAUGGGGUGAACAUAUAGGAGAAGGCUGGAAAGACCGCAGUGGUGCCUGUGUUUGGGAAGAAUAUGAAAGAAAUUCCCUCAAGUGCUGUGACUUCUGCAGAGCAGGUUUGAGUGGAUGAAGAUGGAGAGGAGGAAGAUGGGGGCAGGAUGGAGGGCCCAACUUUCACUUUUAUUUUGUACAGGUUCCUGUUGUCCGAUGAUAUUAUAAUAAUCAAGAGACAUUUUUUGUAAUGGAUUUAGAAGCAAAGAGGAGUUUUUCAAAAGAAAGCCUUAGACUCAGCUCUUUCUUUUUGGACAUUUUAUCCUCCAGAUUUACUCACAUGUGUGUGAAAUGAGAUAUGGAAAUGUUACUCAUCGUAUCACUGGUUGGAUUAGUAAAAGGCUGGAAGCAACCUCAAUAUCCAUUAACUGGGGACUGGAGGAAUAAAAGCAGGGACCACAUAUGGUGGAGCAUUAUAAAGGUGGAGAAAAAAAUGAGCAAGCAUGUCAUGCAGUUAUAGAAUCUUUCCAAGGUAACUGAAUAAUAAUUUGUAGAAACAAGGUAUAAACAAGUAGUAGGCUACAUUUGGGCUUAAAAAGGAUAAAAAUGGGAAUGUACAGAUGCUCCAAAAUGUAUGAUGGGGCUAUGUCCUAAUAAAGCCAUCGUAAGUUGAAAAUGUCCUAAGUCAAAAACUCAUUUAAUACACCUAACCUGCUGAACAUCCUAGCUUAGCCUAGACCAUCUUAAACAUGCUUAGAACACUUACAUUAGCCUGUGAUUGGGCACGAUCAUCUAGCACAAAACCUAUUUUAUAACAAAAUGUUGAGUAGCUUAUGUAAGGUAUUGAUAUUGUACUGAAAGAGAAAAACCGAAUGGUUGUAUGGGUACUCAAAGUACGGUUUCUACUGCAUGUGUAUCACUUUCAUACCACUGUUAAGUCACAAAAUUGUAAGCCCAACCAUUGUAAGUUAGCAAUCUUCUGUAUGUAUGUGUUUGCAUAUUCAUAAGAAACCCUGGAAUGUCAGCUUAUAGGAUGUCAGCUUCACGAGGACAGGGGCUUUUGUCUCUUUGUUCACUUCUGUAUCCACAGUGUCUACAAUAGUGCCUGACACAUGAAAAGAGUUUGAAAAAUAAUUGUUGGUUGAAUGAAUGGAAGGAUACACAAGAAACUAGGAACAGUGGCUACCUCUGGCUUGGGUGGGUGGCUGAGAGACAGGGCUGGGAGGGAGACAUUUUACUGUAUAUCCACUUGUGCCAACUCAUUCUGCAGACUAAGAAAUUGAGUCCAGCUAGGGCAGAAGAAAUUUCCUCUGGACUCCCAAUUAUGCUGCAGGAAAAGAGAGAAUUGGGGCACACUGAAAUUCUAGAAUUCCUGCCCUGUCUUCAUGGGCCAAGAGUUUACCGAUGACAUCCUCCAUCCUCACUGAUUUCUAGACACCUAGUGUUAAUUUAGAGUCAUUGAAAGUGUCCCAGUCCUUGCCACUGAGACCUUGGGUUGGGAGAAUAAGAAGAUGGGCAGAUUGUCAUUAAUUGCACCCAGAUUAGAGAGAGCUGGGGGAUCUUAUGGCCUUAUCCUGAACCGGCAUGUGAACAACAACAUCUUGCCUGAUUCACAGGCCUGUGGCUUGUUCAGUGGGUAGAUUUUGCCUUCUCCAGAACCCUGACUUUGGCAGCUUUUUUUCUUCACUCAGCUUGAAACUGAGGUGAAAUCAGCCUUAGCUGCCAGAUUUUUCUGCUUUAUCUAAACCUCAUGACCGCUUUUUUUUUUUUUUUUUUGUAAUUUAAAGGGUGUUCCCCUGAUGCCCAUUUGCUUAUAAAUGCAAAGACUCUCUGAUAGUGUGGACAAGAACCUGGUAACUGUGGUUGUUUCUGGGAAAGGAAUCGUA
rnacentral:lncRNA from 10 species